GAUGAACGCUAGCGGCAGGCCUAACACAUGCAAGUCGAGGGGUAACUAGAGUGAUAGCAAUAUUACUUUGGCUAGACCGGCGCACGGGUGCGUAACACGUAUGCAACCUACCUUAUACUGGGGAAUAACUUCGAGAAAUCGGCGCUAAUACCCCAUAACAUUGCGAAGAGGCAUCUCUUUGCAAUUAAAGCUCCGGCGGUAUAAGAUGGGCAUGCGUCCAAUUAGCUAGUUGGUGAGGUAACGGCUCACCAAGGCUACGAUGGGUAGGGGUUCUGGGAGGAUCGUCCCCCACACUGGUACAGGAACACGGACCAGACUGCUAAGGGAGGCAGCAGUGAGGAAUAUUGCGCAAUGGACGAAAGUCUGACGCAGCCAUGCCGCGUGCAGGAUGACGGCCCUAUGGGUUGUAAACUGCUUUUGUACGGGAAUAAACCCUUCUACGUGUAGGAGGCUGAAGGUACCGUAAGAAUAAGCACCGGCUAACUCCGUGCCAGCAGCCGCCGUAAUAC
rnacentral:rRNA from 1 species